CGAGCAUUGCUCUCUGGGCGCCGGCUUAUUUGGAAAUUUAAGUGACCAGACUGGAGGUAAGGUCCUUGGUCGAGCUAUGCUCUCUGGGCGCCAGUCUUAUUGGAUAAGAGAGCCGAAAGGCUAAGGCUGAGAGUUAAGUGACCGGACUGGAGGUAAGGUCCUUGGUCGAGCUUUGCUCUCUGGGCGCCAGUCCUGUUGGAAUGAGAGGUUUGAGAUGUUAGAGUUGAAGUUAGUUGAGACAUAAGUGUUGAAAUAAAUCGAGAUGUUAGAGUUGGGAUUAGGGUUAUACUGAAGUACUCCGUCCCGUUGCAUGUGGA
rnacentral:lncRNA from 1 species